GUUCUGCAUGAGUGGCUCUCCUGGCGAGAUAAAGAAGAGACAGUGAGCUGAGGCUGAGGCUGAGAAGGCUGGCAUAUGUGAUGUCUUCGGGGAUCGGAAGCUCAUUUGAAGAACGCCUGUGCGUGGAAUCAGCCAGAGAGACAGCAAGAGAACCCCAUCUCUGACAAUGGCCUGGAUCACCUAUCUCUUCAAAGCAGAGUGGAACCAGGCCAGGAGGGAGGUGUCCCAGGGUGAGCAUGCACAGGAGGGAGUCUGCAGAGCCAAAUGCUGUGAAGCUCCUGCCUUUUGGGCCCAGAGACUUCUGAGACUCGUGCUCUCCCUCUGUGCUUUCAACUUAUAAAACCUGCUGUUUUGAUCUGAAAGAAAAAAAAAAGGGAUUCAGCUGCUAGGUUAAUGCUGUUGGCUAAGUAUUUCAGAGACACUUCAUGACUUACACAUGAGCAGAGAAUGGGCCCGGGAAGCAGCAGCUGUGGGAAUCAAGGCUGUCCACUGAACCUGUAUGAAGCACAAUGUUCUUAUCUAUAAGACGGGAGAAGUAAGCCCUGUCCCACAUUGCUUCCCAAGGAGGGGACAAAGGAGGCUGUUCAAGGCAAGUCUCUUCACCAGACAUCUGUUGUCACAUUCAUGAUGCUGAACAAAACCCUCAAAACCACAGUGGCAUCCAAGAGGACUCACUGAAUUAGCUCAUGAGACUGGGCUUCAGCUGAUCUGAGCUUGGCUGCUCCUAACUCUACUUGCA
rnacentral:lncRNA from 1 species